rnacentral:rRNA from 1 species
CCAGACUCCUACGGGAGGCAGCAGCGAGGAAUAUUGGUCAAUGGGCUUACGCCUGAACCAGCCAAGUCGCGUGAGGGAAGACUGCCCUAUGGGUUGUAAACCUCUUUUGUCAGGGAGCAACGCCGGCUACGUGUAGCCGGACUGAGAGUACCUGAAGAAAAAGCAUCGGCUAACUCCGUGCCAGCAGCCGCGGUAAUACGGAGGAUGCGAGCGUUAUCCGGAUUUAUUGGGUUUAAAGGGUGCGUAGGCGGGACCUUAAGUCAGCGGUAAAAUUGCGGUGCUCAACGCCGUAGAGCCGUUGAAACUGGGGUUCUUGAGUGAGCGAGAAGUAUGCGGAAUGCGUGGUGUAGCGGUGAAAUGCUUAGAUAUUGCGCAGAACUCCGAUUGCGAAGGCAGCAUACCGGCGGCGAUCUGACGCUGAGGCACGAAAGCGUGGGUAUCGAACAGGAUUAGAUACCCCAGUAC